AUUAACAUAAUUGUAAAGCAGUUUCAGGAUUUCAAAACCAAUGACAUUUUGCUACGUGUUUAACUUGGCUUCGCACACAUCACACACAAAAAAAGCAAAGCAUAAGACAAAGUCACCCAACAAACAAGAUAACAACAAGGGGUAGGAAGUUAACAAACCAAAGUCAAAGUCAGUCUGGGAGUGUGCAGUUGAGAUAAGGACUCGGUCCAGUCAGGGAGAGCUGUUGGCACGUGCUGCUCAUUAUGUUCAAGCCAUGAAGAAUCUCUGUUCAGAGAUCAAUAGGGCAGAGUCUUCGGUGGCAAUUGCCUUUUUGCUGUGGUCAGCUGUGAAAGGAUCAUUAUCCAGCAAGUCUGACAGUUUCUUCCAAAGAUCCUUGCUUUUUAAAGGAGUUUAAUCAGACUUAGGCCUUUGCAGACCUCCUCUGGUUUGGCAGAUUAUCAGUUCUGGGUACCCUCAGCUUGUUCUAUUUUCAGUGAUAUCUGGUCUUAGCUACAACAUCUUUGGUUGCGUAAAUCACUGCUUAACAUAGGUCACUGUUUGAUAUGCGUGACUCCAUUUUGCUUUCUACUCUCUUCAAUACACUUAAGAUGAUUAUGAGGACCAGGGAUCCCUCUAAUAUGUGGUGGUCCUGGGAGCUGGGGAGGAACAGUGACAGGUACAGGGAGGGGAUUUUUGCCUAAAGUAAGAAUUCUUCUGGUGAUUAGGAUUGGAAAAGCCUGGAUGGCAAAAGAGUGAGCUCUCCAUCCUAGGAGUGUUAAGGAGCAAAUGGAGCUGCAAGUAGGUGGCUUAAAAUCUCUUCUAACUAAAAAUUUAUUGACCUUCCGGCUCCUGGGUGGCUCAGCAGGUUAAGGGUCCAAUUCUUGAUUUCAGCUCCGAUCAUGGUCUUAGGGUCCUGGGGUAAGGCCCCAGUCCGGCUCAAGCUCAGUGGGGAUUCUGCUUGAGGAUUCUCUCUCUCCCUCUGCCCCUGCCCCUGCUCACAGGCCAUGCUCUCUCUGUCAAAUAAAUAAAUCUUAAAAAAACACAAAACUUCAUUGACCUGAAAGAUAAAACAGUAAGUUACUGUGUCAGCAAAAUGCGUUUAUUCCGGAAUAGCAAAGAACUGCAAUUCAGGACCUGCAAGCUAUGGCAGAGCCACAGGUAAGCCCAACAAAGGAGAGGACCGUUAUUUCAGGAAAAAGGAGGAAGUUGGGAGGGUCGCUUGGAACCGAAAGUUCACUGGAGAGAAACAAGCGUUCAGGGUGAUGAGGGUUUCUCAUUGGCAGAGUUUGCUGGGCUUGCUAAGAGAUGCGACAAACAUCUUUUUCCGGUUGGGGCCUGUGAUUGUUACUUCUUCCCUGUUGAAGAUUCUUCUGCUGAGGUCUAUACUUGACAAUUCUUCCUGUAAUUGGCAAUUCUUAUAAUUGGCAGGCAACGAUGGGCGCCUGGGUGGCUCAGUUGGUUGAGGGACUGCCUUCGGCUCAGGUCAUGGUCCUGGAGUCCCGGGAUCGAGUCCCGCAUCGGGCUCCCUGCUCAGCGGGGAGUCUGCUUCUCCCUCUGACCCUCUCCCCCGUCAUGUGCUCUCUCGCUCUCAUUCUCUCAGAUAAAUAAAUAAAAUCUUAAAAAAAAAUAAUUGGCAGGCAACGGUACAGCCUGAGGGCUCCACUUUGGUGAGGUGUCUCUUAAUUUCGACAACUUUCUCUGAUUAUGUUCACCAGGAAGGGAGGAACGACAAAAGCAGGCGUGCGCAGGAUGCAGGCAGGAAGCACGGGAAUCUGGAGAACGAGGGCCGGGAGGACGGGCUCUGGACAACUGCGAAGUUUGCCCGGCUGUGCAGCCAGGCUGAGGCAGGGGGACGGAGCAGCUGCUGCUUGGUUUUGAGCAAAGAGCGGCCCCCUCCCUGAAGCGAAAAGCGCUGGGCAGAAACAGCACAGCCAGCUGAAGGCCAGAACUAGCCUAGAAGGCGGCUGCGGGAAGAAGGAGGGCGGAGGGCCAGGCGUGGGCGACGCCGGGGGCGCGCGGCUCGGCGGGGACGCGCGGCUCAGCGGGGGCGCGCGGCCCGCACCGGCCCUCAGCUCCGGAAGGGGGCGGGGCCGCCUCGCGCGCCCGUUCCUUCAGUCUGCGAGCGCCUGCCGCGCGCGCUGCCGAGGCUCCUCAGCUGAGCUCCGAGCGGUCGAUCGCCUUCGCUCCCGCAGCCCGCGCUCCGCUUGCCGCUGGCUCCACCCGCCAUUGUAGGCCUGUAGUCCGCUAUGGAGCAUGCCUUUACCCCGUUGGAACCCCUGCUUCCCACCGGGAAGUUGAAAUACUGCCUUGUGGUUCUGAAUCAGCCUCUGGACAAAUGUGUUCGUCAUCUUUGGAGCAAAGCUCUUUUAAGAGCCUGUGCUGAUGGAGGUGCCAACCGCUUAUAUGAUACCAUGGAAGGAGAGAGGGAAAGCUUUUUGCCUGAAUUCAUCAGUGGAGACUUUGAUUCUAUUAGGCCUGAAGUUAAAGAAUAUUAUGCCAUCAAGGGAUGUGAGAUUAUUUCAACGCCUGACCAAGACCAUACCGACUUUACCAAGUGUCUUGAACUGCUCCAAAAAAAGAUAGAAGAAAAAGACUUACAGGUGGAUGUAAUUGUGACCUUGGGAGGUCUUGGUGGGCGUUUUGACCAGAUUAUGGCAUCUGUGAACACCCUGUUCCAAGCUAUGUGCAUCACUUCUGUGCCAAUUAUAAUAAUCCAAGAGGAAUCUCUCAUCUACCUGCUUCAGCCAGGAAAGCACAAAAUGCAUGUAGCUACUGGAAUGGAAGGUGAUUGGUGUGGCCUUAUUCCUGUUGGACAGUCUUGCAAUCACGUUACGACAACAGGCCUAAAGUGGAACCUCACAAACAACAUGCUUGGUUUUGGAACACUGGUCAGUACUUCCAAUACCUACGAUGGAUCUGGUGUCGUGACCGUGGAAACGGACCAUCCACUCCUCUGGACCAUGGCCAUCAAAAACUGACCCAGCAAUUGGCAUCCACAGCCAUGCCUCUGAUUUACCUCAUUUGCCUUAUUGUCUUAUUGCUCAACUUAUUGCUUAUUGCUCAACAAGAACUUUGAUUUACAGAAAUUUAAACCUCUCCAUGGGAAGCCCAGUAGUCUCAAAGAUGUUAAUGUUUACAUAAUCCAGGUAACACAAAUGACAGAUCUCAAUUUUACAGUGAGGGAGAAAAAUGAUUAUUUUGAAGAAAGUAAAUAAGCUCUAUUACAUUCACUUGGAAAACUAUUGUGGAUCAUUCCCCUAUAAAAUUCAGUACCAAUUAUUAUCAUUCCAUUUAUCCUAGAGAAUUGUUUUUGAUUUUGAAGCUGAGAAAGUUCUCUGUUGAGGGUCCUUGGUGUCUAACACAUCAGCCACCUUCUGCCCAUCCUUAAAUCCUUACACCGAAGGCUACGUCUGAAUGUUAACGCUAGAGUCCUCUGUAUAAUAUGGGGAAAAAAUUCCUUUCAGAGUGGGAUGUUAGAAUGGCACCAUUUUGCCCUGGCUUUACCUGUCUUUGGUAUUACCUUUUAAAAAUAAAUCAAGAAUCAUUGACCUAAUUAUUAAAUUGGAAAACAGGCAGUUAUGUAAGCUAUAGGUGAAGAGAGAAAUGGCAUGAAAGGUGAAUGACAGGUCAUAAAGCCCUACUGACACCUUCACCCCAAGCUCAGCUCUGAGCCGAGUGCACUAGGCUCCAGGGGAGUGACAGAUGAGAACUGCCCUCAUUGGAAUUACAACCCAGGCUGAAGAUAUUGUGCAGAGGAAACUCAUGCACGAAAAAUGAAUUGUUUCUGACAUUACUCAGCCUGAACAAGCGUUGGUUCACAGGCCCCAAAGUUAAUGCAGAGGACCAGGAAAUGAGUUUGACACCUAGUAGUAAGAAUCUGGGUCUGAAAGCCUGAGCUCCUGUCCUGGUCCAGUGAUUCACCCACGUUCCCGGAACUUUGUCCUGAGCCAGAACCGGGGCAGGGCUGGCGGGGUGGUGCCGGAGCUUCCUUCUGCUGCCCCUCCACCCCUAGGUUCUAGACCCUAACACCUGGCAGUUACCCAGCAGAGAAUGCACAGCAUUACUGGCUCGGCAGUUCAAACCAUGUAGGGCACUGAAAUGCACUCGUUUCUUUUAUAAUGAGACCCUCAUCUCUCUUACCCUUUUCUAUCCUAUUUACCAAACGAAACGGUGCCAUACAAACCAUGACGUGAGGAGAACCCACCCCCUAGGUUUUACGAACACACAUCCCCAUCUUGCUCUCGAGGACCAGCAGCUCUUUCCUUCCCGGUGUUACGAUAAAGCAAGAGUUGGAUUUUAAGUGGAGAGUGAAAGGAGAAUCGGUUGAGCUGCGUGCAGUUGUGAAGGUUCACCAUGAGAGCAGGAGCGUGCAGACGGUGAGAUCUCAGGUGCCCAGGCAGCCCCUCUUCCCACCCUCCUGUUCAGUUUGGAUCCUGACCUCCAGCUCAUAGCUGCAAGGGACGCUGGAAGCCGGGCCCUCCUGGCCAAGUGACUUGUGCUUCUUGUCCCCUUUGACUUCAGUCUGUUUCUUCUUUACAUGGGUCGGACGUAUGGCUUUUACAAAUCAAAUGGUGGCGACCCCAGAAUAGCAUCUGGUUACCUAAGUCACUGAUGAGUGAAAGCACGCUCUGAUGGCUCUUCUCUGCAGGCGGCUGGGAGAUGACAAUGGCCACAGCUCCUGGAACGCUGGUGGGAGUCACGCGACUGAGAUGUAAUAAACCGUCUGUGGUCCAAAGAAUCCAGAGUGGGGCCGCUCUCCCAGAUGAGGAUGCCCAGGGCAAUAUAUGUCUAUUCCUGAAUUUUUGCUAAGCAGACAGAGCAAGGUUCCCUUGGGACGGGAACCAGGACCAUCCCAGUAGUCAGAGGGGACGCUGAGAGUGGGGGCUGGUGGCCGGGACCGCGUGCGCGUUCACAAAGAAAUCUUGUGGCUGGAGCUAUUUUCAACUUUGGGGGUUCGAGGAACGACCGUGGCUGUCCGAAGCUGAAGUGGACUACAGACAAGAAUACAGGUUAUUCUGAAAUAGCUGGAGACCAUGACAUUCGAUUCCAGUAUUUUCUCUAUUUGUGUUUACAUCUACCUGUUCCACAAAUGACCUCCCUUUAGCACGCACAAGAAAUUAGCCUGAGGAGUCUAAAACCAUUAAAAAAUAAAUGAUGUAUUUUUAGGGCCUCAUUGAAAAUUUACUGCUACAGCAUCUGCCGGGCAGCGUCCUAGGCUGCAGAUUUCUGGCUGGCGAAGUGUCUGACCGCUCUAACGACACAGAUGAAAGGACAGAGAUGAAAAUGAGUCAGCCUGGUUCCAUGAGGUCCAAAGUCCCAGGCAGGAGAUGAGAUGAACCCUGUGCCGCUUCAUUAUAAUAAUGAGUUAACUUCCAAUAAAGCAGAAAAUCCAGUUGAGUGGGACCUUCAAGUUGACAUACUGCUGUCCUUUAACACAGAUCUGAGUGUCUCCUGCAAGGCCGACACUGGAGUCCAGGGAUGCCCUCACUGGCUCCCAUUACAGUGAGACGGGUGAGGGACAGAGAGAGAUGGGAGAAAGGGGGACACACGAGAGGAAAGACAUGUGGGAAGGUAGACAAGAAAGUGGGCACAAGGAGACCUGCACUUCGGGUGAAACAGUGGGGAAAGAAGAGAGAUGGAAGUCGGCUUCCUUUUCUCGCCCACUUGGAAUGCUAACAAGCAUCAGCUUCCAGCGCGGACACCUCCCAUUCACACGUGGUACAAAAUGGCCGUUUAUGGACCCGGUAAGAGUGGCCUGGGAGCAGUCUGUCACAAGGGCUGAUGUUAAGAGCAAAAAGGACACCGUGCAUAUGAACAUGUUGGUCACAAUUAUGUAAAUAUCAGACAAUACUGGAAGAGAAUAAACAUUUUACCAUGGUUAGCUUUGACUAAUUGUA